rnacentral:rRNA from 1 species
UUACGGGAGGCAGCUGUGGGGAAUCUUAGACUAAUGGGCGCAAGCUUGAUCUAGCCUUGCCGCGUGUGUGAUGAAGGUCUUAGGAUCGUAAAGCACUCGCCAGGGAUGAUAAUGACAUACU